AUCGCUUCUCGGCCUUUUGGCUAAGAUCAAGUGUAGAAAAUAACACUCUGACAAAUGUCAAAAAAAAUAAAAAUAAUUUAUUUUAACUAUAGUCUUC
rnacentral:snRNA from 1 species